rnacentral:rRNA from 1 species
UACAGAGGGUGCAAGCGUUGUUCGGAAUCAUUGGGCGUAAAGGGCGUGUAGGCGGUUUGUUAAGUCAUGUGUGAAAUCCCUCGGCUCAACCGGGGAACGGCGCAUGAAACUGGCGGGCUUGAGUAUGGCAGAGGGGGGUGGAAUUCCGCGUGUAGCAGUGAAAUGCGUAGAGAUGCGGAGGAACACCGAUGGCGAAGGCAGCCCCCUGGGCCAAUACUGACGCUCAGGCACGAAAGCGUGGGGAGCAAACAGG